GAGAUUGUAGAACGCAAACACCAACAUAUAUUGAAUGUAGCUCGAGCAUUAAGAUUUCAAUCCGACAAUCCCAUUUCUUAUUGGAAUGAAUGUGUUCUGACUGCCACCUAUUUAAUAAAUUGAACCCCCUCCCCCAACCUUCAAAAUCAAUCACCAUAUCAACUACUUUAUCAGACCAUACCAACCUACAAUCACUUAAGAAUUUUUGGAUGCCUAUGCUAUGCCUCUACAUUGACACAUAAUCGUCAAAAAUUUGAUUAUCGUGCUAGAAAAUGCAUUCUCCUAGGAUAUCCCUUUGGGGUGAAAAGAUAUAAAUUAUUGGACUUAGACAAUAAAUCUGUCUUCAUCUCCCGUGAUGUCAUAUUUUAUGAACAAACCUUUCCUUUUAAGGCAAAUAUUACCAAUUCCACUUCCACUCUUCCCUCUUCCACUCCUAUUCCACCACUCGACUUAGACAUUACAUCUCCACCAGAUUAUGAAUCAUCAUCUCACUCACCAACGCCUCCAUCACCUUCACCCUCCUCCUCACCAACCAUUACUUCAACAACUCAUCAUCUAGCUCCUUGAAAAUCUGAUCGACCUAAGAAACCUCCAGUUUAUCUGCAGGAUCACUACUGUCAACAAGCUGCUGGGCCUCCUCCUUCACUGUCCAGCUCCAAAGGAAAAUUCAAUUCAUGGCAGCCCCUCGGCUCCCUCACCUUCAAGCAGCAUAUAAGGUGUUGAAAUAUGUCGAAAACUCUCCAGGUCAAGAAGAUCCACCACUGGUUAUUGUGUGCUUCUUGGUCAAUCUCUCAUCUCAUGGAAAUUCAAGAAGCAAACAACCAUUUCCAGAAGCUCUGCUGAAGCUGAAUACCGAUCAAUGGCAGCUGCCUCUUGUGAAAUUGUAUGGUUAAAGUAUCUCCUUGCUGAUCUCAAAGUUCCACACUUAAAGCCUGCUACCUUGUACUGCGACAAGCAAGCUGCCUCGCACAUUGCAGCCAACCCCAUUUUCCACGAACGCACUAAACAUAUUGAAUUAGAUUGUCAUCUAUUCGUGACAAAAUACAAGAAUGAACAAUCUCUACUGCAUAUGCUCCAUCCAGCUCCCAGUUGGCUGACCUACUUACCAAAGCUCUUCCAUCUCCAUUAUUGUCUUCUCUUUUGCUCAA